rnacentral:rRNA from 1 species
GAUGAACGCUGGCGGCGUGCCUAAUACAUGCAAGUCGAGCGAACGGACGAGAAGCUUGCUUCUCUGAUGUUAGCGGCGGACGGGUGAGUAACACGUGGAUAACCUACCUAUAAGACUGGGAUAACUUCGGGAAACCGUAGCUAAUACCGGAUAAUAUUUUGAACCGCAUGGUUCAAAAGUGAAAGACGGUCUUGCUGUCACUUAUAGAUGGAUCCGCGCUGCAUUAGCUAGUUGGUAAGGUAACGGCUUACCAAGGCAACGAUGCAUAGCUGACCUGAGAGGGUGAUCGGCCACACUGGAACUGAGACACGGUCCAGACUCCUACGGGAGGCAGCAGUAGGGAAUCUUCCGCAAUGGGCGAAAGCCUGACGGAGCAACGCCGCGUGAGUGAUGAAGGUCUUCGGAUCGUAAAACUCUGUUAUUAGGGAAGAACAUAUGUGUAAGUAACUGUACACAUCUUGACGGUACCUAAUCAGAAAGCCACGGCUAACUACGUG